CGCAGCAGCAGCUUGGGGCCGCCGAAGCAGUAGCACUGGAAGGGGCAGGGUGCCGCGGGCUGGCUCAGCGCCGCCGCCACGAGCAGCAGCCCCUGGAGCCCCGGCUGUCCCGCGCGCGGGGCCAUCGCGGCCGCCCCCGCAUCCAGCGCCCGGGCCGCCGCGCUCACCCUUGAAGAUUUUAACCUUUGUUUCAAAGGCAAAGAGAAGCCAUUGAAAGCUUUUAAGUAGAAAUGUGACAUAAUUUUAUUUGUAUUUUGUAAAGAUCACUCUCACCACAUGAUUGAAAGAGCCAAGUAUGAGAAGAUAAAUGAGGAGACGCUUGGAGAAGUACAGGGGCACCACCAACACUUAAGAUUCAAGAGUUGCCUUACUAGAUGGCCUUGGGCAAGUCACAAAACCUUUCUGGGAUUCUCUGAGUGUGGGGUUGAUUUUCUGUCUCUAUCAGGUGAUCCUUUCCCCAUAAUCUUAAUUAUUUAUGCCAUGCUUUCUGUUCUCUUCAGAGAGAUUAGCAUUUACACAUAUGUUAAAUGUUAUUUUCUAAAUGCUAACACCAAUUAAUGCAAUCCUAUCUGUUUUUAACUUCCUUAGCCUCCAUCUUCAGGCAAGAAAGUCUGUGAUAUGAAUGAAGGGAAGAAGUUGGAAUGAGGAUUGGUCUGCUGAUUCAACAAUGUCUUUGAUGACCCAGGCAUUUCCCAUUCUGAGCCUCGAGGGUGACUACCCCUGUGAUUGCAAGAUGACUGAGUGCCAUCAGGAACCAUGUCCUCCCAAGAUCAUAAAAGGCACAUGGAAUCAAAGCUUUUGGUCAACUGCCAACAAGGUACAGAGGCCCAACAGCAAUCAUCGAAUGAACUUGGAAGUGGAUCCUCUCACCCCAGUUGAGCCUUCUGAUGACUGCAGCCCUGGCUGAUGCUUGACUACAACUUCAUCAGAAAUCCUCAUGAAGAUCCAGCACCUUCCAGUUAGCCCAUCUGUGGGUUCUUGACCCUCAGAAAUUCUAUGAGAUAAUAAAUAUUUGUUGUUUUAAGUUGCGAUGAGAAAACCAAUGCUCCGAUGAGUGCAGUGACUUCCCAUGCCUGUGGAGAGUCUAUGCCUUUGAUUGGAUCCCCAGAGGUGGUUUUCACUUGCCCCCCAUUGCCUAUACCAUGUUGCCUUCCUGAUCUUGGCUCAACCAAGAGGCGGACUCACCGUGAUGUGAAUGCAGCUUGAGCAUCCAGGACUCUCCCCAGAUCCAGGGAGGGCCUCAGCGAUGUGUUCACGUUGUCAUAUUUUUAUAAAAUUUGCAAAGGUAAGAUACUUUAACCACAAUCAAAAUUACUAUUUUCUUCCCACUCCAACUUCCCUUGUGUUUCAAUUUUCCUUUAUGUGGGAUAAUUGGAGUGGCCAUGGGCACUUCUGGGAUCUGACCAAGGGGAAGCUGAGUGGGGGACUGAUUUGAGUUGGGUUCACUGGGAUAUGUUUAUGUGGUUUUCUGAAACAGAGGAUAUAUUAAUAUUUAUGUGGUUCUCUGUGUAUAGAUAAAUCAUUGCUAGUAAUCUCUGUGUAGAGAAUAGCUUCUAGGAAUUCUACCCACUGCCCAGCUCACUUGGCAUGGUGAUAUUAAGUUGCCAUAUGCAGAGGUCAUAUCGUGAUAUGAAUGUGUGUCAUGGCACCCAGCCCAGGAAGUAUAUGGGCAGUAGACAAGAAACAGGAGAAACCAGGUUUGAAAUGUACAGAGCCAGAAGCUAGUCUGUGGAAAAUUCUUCUAAUCAUCAGGGGGAGAAAAUGUGUCUCAGAGGUUAAGCAGGGCAGUUAAUA
rnacentral:lncRNA from 1 species